rnacentral:rRNA from 1 species
CAAUAGCGUAUAUUAAAGUUGUUGCAGUUCAAAAGCUCGUAGUUGGACUUGUGCAGGUUAAUGAUGUCCGUUUUUGGUACGUUUGUGAGCUUGCAUGCUUGGGUGGAACCUGUGUGGCAUUAGGUUGUCGUGCAGGGGAUGCUCAUCAUUUACUGUGAAAAAAUUAGAGUGUUCAAAGCAGGCUUACGCCAUUGAAUAUAUUAGCAUGGAAUAAUAAGAUAGGACCUUGGUACUAUUUUGUUGGUUUGCGCACCGAGGUAAUGAUUAACAGGGACAGUUGGGGGUAUUCGUAUUCCAUUGUCAGAGGUGAAAUUCUUGGAUUUUUGGAAGACGAACUACUGCGAAAGCAUUUACCAAGGAUGUUUUCAUUAA